rnacentral:misc_RNA from 1 species
CGAUUUAUUUUUCAUUUUCCGAAAUAUUCUCUUAUAAACUUAUAAUUAGAAAGUUAAAUUAAUUUGUAAUUUAAACUAGUAUAAUGUUUCUAUUUCAAUCUAUUCGAAUGAAGGGUAGGUUAGUAAUAAAAAAUUGUCACUAGCCAGAAAAUUAUAAAUCCUAGUGUCACGGAGGUUGGAACGUUGUAAAUAGAGAGAGAGAGAGAGAGAGAGAGAGUGAGAAGGAGAAAGAGAGAUAGCCUCGCGCAAUCGGUGAGGGAGUCUCGCAUCGGUUUGUAGGCGUCAUCAUGGUGUGUGGGUCGAAGCGUUUUUUGAGAGAUGAGUUUGUUUUUAAUCGUUAAUACGUGAACAUUUUUAGUGUUUAUAGUGAUGUUUUUACGGAAAGUUUCGCUGUUGUCCUGCAAAUCGUUAUGGAGAAUCCCAUCGAUACGUAACGUACAAUUACGAAAUAAGUUUUAAACGGAACGAUAGGACAGUGCAUACGAUGUCGGAUUCCGAACAAGUUUUUCUUGUACGUCGGCUUGUAUGGAAAUGCAAAUGGACCGUUGUUUUAUCGAUAUUGUGUGUAAUUCCAUUAAACGUUGUAAAAGCCGACAAUCUAUCGUAUGGUACGAAAGAUAAUCAGUGUCCUGUCGAGUGCGGGUGCCUUGGUAAUGUGGUAGACUGCAGUAACUUACAAUUGAUCGGAGCACCCAGCGGACUACCACCAUGGACAGAGAUCUUGGAAUUAAGAGAAAAUAACAUAGCUAAUUUGGAGCCGGAUGCCUUACUGCAUUUAACAAAGCUCAAAGAACUGGAUCUUAGCGCGAAUAAACUUGGAGAUAACUUCACGAUCGUUUUACCAAAAGCUUCGCAGUUACAAGGACUCAAGGUGAAUAAGAAUCGAUUGACUCGAGUGCCAGACAUGGUUUUUGUAGAAAACAUAACUCACCUCGCAUUGGCUCAUAAUUCGAUUAGCGAUAUAAAUGGAACCGCUUUACUUACGUUACGGCGUCUUCAAAAUUUGGAUAUCAGUGGAAAUAAAAUAAGCGUCGUACGAAAUGGCUCCUUUCUUGCUCCCAAUCACCUUACACAUUUAAAUUUAAAUAUGAACGAGAUAAGGGUAAUCGAAAAUGGAAGUUUGGAUAAUUUGACUUCGUUGGAGGAACUACGCUUAAAUAAAAAUCACUUAACACAGUUGAAGGAUUUGUUUACGAAUUUAAAAAAACUGCGCAUCUUAGAAAUAAAUAGAAACGAAUUACAGACGAUCCAAGGUCUUAGCCUUCGAGGUUUAAGAAAUCUUAAAGAGUUACGGUUAAAAAGAAACAAGAUCGAAUCUUUGGACGAUGGGGCAUUUUGGCCUCUUGAAAAUUUAACCAUAUUACAACUUGACUUCAACUUGUUAACUACCGUGAGAACAGGUGGUCUAUUCGGAUUAGAACGUUUACAAAAGUUAACACUGUCGCACAAUCAAAUAAGCACAAUCGAGGUACAAGCGUGGGAGAAAUGUAAAGAAAUCGUAGAAUUGGAUUUGUCGCACAACGAAAUAGCUUUGAUUCCACGACAUACUUUUGAAUUUUUAGAAAAAUUGGAAAAACUCAAGUUGGAUCACAAUAAAAUUACGUACAUUUCGGAUGGUGCAUUUGGUUCAACCCCUAAUUUACAAAUACUGUACGUAUACGCAUGUGCCAAGGUAUUCACGAAUCUGAUAAGAUACGCUCAUGAUAAUAAUCGUGUUUAUUCUAUACAAAGGGAACUAAAUUUCAAUAAAAUUUCGUACAUGGUGGAAGAUAUCAACGGCGUGUUCGAUCCAUUGAGACAGUUGUGGAAAUUGGGAUUGGCGCACAAUGAUAUAAAAUCCGUAAACAAAGAUGCAUUUAGGGGAUUAAGUAGUGUAACGGAAUUAGAUUUAAGUGGAAACGACGUAACAAGCAUUCAGGAAAAUGCGUUCGCGUCGAUGACCAGCUUGAUUAAACUUCGUAUGAACUCGAGUACGUAUGAAAGCACCAAAGUACCGCGUAACGCGAGUACGCAAAUGUUUGAGAUAUAUUUGUAUUUAUUUCUCUUGGCGUACAUAGGAACGCUGCUUUGCGAUUGCGGCCUACAAUGGUUAAGUAUGUGGUUGCGCGAGCAUAGAUACAGCGAUGCCGAAGUGUAUUGUGGAUAUCCGCAUUGGUUACAGGGUAUGUCGUUGACUCAGGUGCAUCAUGAAAAUUUCACAUGCGACGAAUUUCCGAAACCACGAAUUAUCGAGGAACCUAAAAAUCAGAUGGGUAUCAAAGGAGGUAACGUAACGUUAGUUUGUCGAGCAACCAGCACUGCCAGCGCGCCGCUACAUUUUACAUGGAAGCACGAUAACGUGGAAAUGGAUAAUGCCAAUUCGCGAACAAACAUCGAUUCCGCGGAGAGUGGUGUGACAAAAGCGUCUUCCAUAUUACAUCUGACGAAUGUGACGCAUGCGAACGCUGGAAAAUAUCAAUGUAUGGUUACGAACACGUAUGGGACAACGUAUUCGGCGAAAGCAAAAAUAAACAUUUUGGUUUAUCCAUCGUUCUCGAAAAUACCUCACGAUAUACGCGCAACUGCUGGAAGCACAGCUCGACUCGAAUGUUCGGCGGAGGGGCAACCGUCGCCGCAAAUAGCGUGGCAAAAAGAUGGAGGAAACAACUUUCCAGCGGCAAGGGAAAGAAGAAUGCACAUGAUGCCAACCGAUGACGUGUUAUUCAUCGUUGACGUGAAAACCGCGGAUAGUGGCGUUUACUCUUGCACCGCGCAAAAUCUUGCCGGCCUUAUUGUCGCGAAUGCUACUCUUACCAUAUUAGAAACACCGUCGUUCGUGAAACCGAUGGAAAACAAAGAAAUAAUGGUCGGUGGUUCGAUCGUGUUGGAAUGCAUGGCAAGCGGUAUGCCAAGACCAAAGCUCUCUUGGCGUAAAAACGGAAGUCCUCUACAAGCUACGGAACGUCAUUUCUUUACGGCCGAAGAUCAAUUAUUGAUAAUCGUAAAUACCAAAGCUAGCGAUGCUGGUAGUUACGAAUGCGAAAUGAGCAAUUCGUUGGGCAGCGUCGUUGGCGCGUCCCAUCUUACCGUGAAACCAGCUCCGACCUCUACACCUAGUCCCGCUUCGGUAAACGAAGACGACAUACUAGGUUUGAUAAUAAUUACCGUCGUAUGCUGCGCCGUUGGUACGUCCAUAGUAUGGGUGGUUAUAAUUUAUCAAACUAGACGACGUUUAAACGCUGUCGCGCAAGCUAGACACGCGCAAUCGUCGACGGCUGUUACGGCCCCUGUUCCAGAUACACAGACGCAUUUAUAUUUGGAAACGAGUUCUCAGCACAGCAAAGAUAGCGGUACAGGGGAUAGUACCAAUCCUAGUAGCGAUCAGUUACAAUUAUGUUUACCCGAGGAGAUCGUUACGUGUUCUAUGCAGAACGAAGAAGAAACUGGAGCGAUAAGUGUUGGAGCUCCGUUGUUACGAUACACGAAUCACGAACGACACGUUCGCGAGAACGAUGAUUGCGCAGUAUAAAAACAGAUCCGUCGUGUUUCAAGUUCGCGUUCGUGAUUGUGCAAACGAACUCGUUUUCGAACGAACUUUUCAGAAAAAUCAUUCUGCGAACGAUGAUUAGUGGUGAAUGAUCGAGGUGUAUCAAGGACGAGUCGAAAAAAGAAAGCGCCGAACGAUCGUCGGUUCACCGUCGGUAGCAAGGUAUUGCUAUAAACUGGCCGAUUUUGUCGCGUCGCGCGAACAUUAAUGGAUUACGUAAAUCAUCGAACGGCGAUUAUAUUUAUAACGAUGCCCAACGGUGUAAAACUGGCUGAAAAAGAAGGAACAAGAGAAACAUACACGGGUUCAUGCACACUCGUUAAAUACAUAUAACGCAAUAUGUACGAAAAGAAAAACGCGUUUAUAUACAUAUGUACAUUUGUUUGCGUGCACCAAAGUGCUGAUAUAGAGACACUUCGUGAUUUGUCUUCCCCCUUCCGGCCUCUUUUUUUUUUUCUUCACUCGUAGCUGAUCGGCUACGAUUG